rnacentral:rRNA from 1 species
GAUGAACGCUGGCGGCGUGCCUAAUACAUGCAAGUCGAGCGAACAGACGAGGAGCUUGCUCCUCUGACGUUAGCGGCGGACGGGUGAGUAACACGUGGAUAACCUACCUAUAAGACUGGGAUAACUUCGGGAAACCGGAGCUAAUACCGGAUAAUAUAUUGAACCGCAUGGUUCAAUAGUGAAAGACGGUUUUGCUGUCACUUAUAGAUGGAUCCGCGCCGCAUUAGCUAGUUGGUAAGGUAACGGCUUACCAAGGCAACGCUGCGUAGCCGACCUGAGAGGGUGAUCGGCCACACUGGAACUAGGACACGGUCCAGACUCCUACGAGAGGCAGCGGUAGGUAAUCUUCCGCAAUGGGCGAAAGCUUGACGGAGCAACGCCGCGUGAGUGAUGAAGGUCUUCGGAUCGUAAAACUCUGUUAUUAGGGAAGAACAAAUGUGUAAGUAACUAUGCACGUCUUGACGGUACCUAAUCAGAAAGCCACGGCUAACUACGUG